rnacentral:rRNA from 1 species
GACGAACGCUGGCGGCGUGCUUAACACAUGCAAGUCGAACGGAAAGGCCCCUUUGGGGGUACUCGAGUGGCGAACGGGUGCGUAACACGUGAGUAACCUGCCCUUGACUUCGGGAUAACUUCAGGUAACUGGGGCUAAUACCGGAUAGGAAUCCUUGCUGCAUGGUGGGGGUUGGAAAGCUUCGGCGGUUUUGGAUGGACUCGCGGCUUAUCAGCUUGUUGGUGGAGUAGUGGCUUACCAAGGCUUUGACGGGUAGCCGGCCUGAGGGGGCGACCGGCCACAUUGGGACUGAGAUGCGGCCCAGACUCCUACGGGAGGCAGCAGGGGGGAAUAUUGCACAAGGGGCGGAAGCCGGAUGCAGCAGCGCCGCGUGCGGGAUGACGGCCUUCGGGUUGUAAACCGCUUUCAGCAGGGGCGAAGCUUGUGGUGACGGUACCUGCAGAAGAAGCACCGGCUAACUACGUG